AACGCUGGCGGCGUGCCUAAUACAUGCAAGUAGAACGCUGAAGAGAGGAGCUUGCUCUUCUUGGAUGAGUUGCGAACGGGUGAGUAACGCGUAGGUAACCUGCCUUGUAGCGGGGGAUAACUAUUGGAAACGAUAGCUAAUACCGCAUAACAAUGGAUGACACAUGUCAUUUAUUUGAAAGGGGCAAUUGCUCCACUACAAGAUGGACCUGCGUUGUAUUAGCUAGUAGGUGAGGUAAUGGCUCACCUAGGCGACGAUACAUAGCCGACCUGAGAGGGUGAUCGGCCACACUGGGACUGAGACACGGCCCAGACUCCUACGGGAGGCAGCAGUAGGGAAUCUUCGGCAAUGGGGGCAACCCUGACCGAGCAACGCCGCGUGAGUGAAGAAGGUUUUCGGAUCGUAAAGCUCUGUUGUAAGUCAAGAACGGGUGUGAGAGUGGAAAGUUCACACUGUGACGGUAGCUUACCAGAAAGGGACGGCUAACUACGUGCCAGCAGCCGCGGUAAUACGUAGGUCCCGAGCGUUGUCCGGAUUUAUUGGGCGUAAAGCGAGCGCAGGCGGUUUGAUAAGUCUGAAGUUAAAGGCUGUGGCUCAACCAUAGUUCGCUUUGGAAACUGUCAAACUUGAGUGCAGAAGGGGAGAGUGGAAUUCCAUGUGUAGCGGUGAAAUGCGUAGAUAUAUGGAGGAACACCGGUGGCGAAAGCGGCUCUCUGGUCUGUAACUGACGCUGAGGCUCGAAAGCGUGGGGAGCGAACAGGAUUAGAUACCCUGGUAGUCCACGCCGUAAACGAUGAGUGCUAGGUGUUGGAUCCUUUCCGGGAUUCAGUGCCGCAGCUAACGCAUUAAGCACUCCGCCUGGGGAGUACGACCGCAAGGUUGAAACUCAAAGGAAUUGACGGGGGCCCGCACAAGCGGUGGAGCAUGUGGUUUAAUUCGAAGCAACGCGAAGAACCUUACCAGGUCUUGACAUCCCGAUGCUAUUUCUAGAGAUAGAAAGUUACUUCGGUACAUCGGUGACAGGUGGUGCAUGGUUGUCGUCAGCUCGUGUCGUGAGAUGUUGGGUUAAGUCCCGCAACGAGCGCAACCCUUAUUGUUAGUUGCCAUCAUUCAGUUGGGCACUCUAGCGAGACUGCCGGUAAUAAACCGGAGGAAGGUGGGGAUGACGUCAAAUCAUCAUGCCCCUUAUGACCUGGGCUACACACGUGCUACAAUGGUUGGUACAACGAGUUGCGAGUCGGUGACGGCGAGCUAAUCUCUUAAAGCCAAUCUCAGUUCGGAUUGUAGGCUGCAACUCGCCUACAUGAAGUCGGAAUCGCUAGUAAUCGCGGAUCAGCACGCCGCGGUGAAUACGUUCCCGGGCCUUGUACACACCGCCCGUCACACCACGAGAGUUUGUAACACCCGAAGUCGGUGAGGUAACCUUUUGGAGCCAGCCGCCUAAGGUGGGACAGAUGAUUGGGG
rnacentral:rRNA from 1 species